rnacentral:rRNA from 1 species
AUUGAACGCUGGCGGAAUGCUUUACACAUGCAAGUCGAACGGCAGCACGGACUUCGGUCUGGUGGCGAGUGGCGAACGGGUGUGUAAUACAUCGGAACGUGCCCAGUCGUGGGGGAUAACGUAGCGAAAGCUACGCUAAUACCGCAUACGAUCUAAGGAUGAAAGCGGGGGAUCGCAAGACCUCGCGCGAUUGGAGCGGCCGAUGGCAGAUUAGGUAGUUGGUGGGGUAAAGGCUCACCAAGCCGACGAUCUGUAGCUGGUCUGAGAGGACGACCAGCCACGCUGGGACUGAGACACGGCCCAGACUCCUACGGGAGGCAGCAGUGGGGAAUUUUGGACAAUGGGCGCAAGCCCGAUCCAGCCAUUCCGCGUGCAGGAUGAAGGCCCUCGGGUUGUAAACUGCUUUUGUACGGAACGAAAAGGCUCUGGUUAAUACCCGGGGCUCAUGACGGUACCGUAAGAAUAAGCACCGGCUAACUACGUGCCAGCCGCCGCCGUAA